CUGGGGACACAGCAGGAGGAGCUGGAGCUGCUGGAGAGAGCCCAGAGGAGGCCCCAGAGCUGCUCCAAGGGAUCCCCUCUGCUCUGGGAGAGCUGGGCUACUCAGAGAAGCUGUGGCAUCCCUGGAAGUGCCCAAGGCCAGGUCGGGCUGGGUUUGGAGUACUCUGGGCUAAUGUGAGAUGUCUCUGCCCAUGGCAGGGGGCUGGAAUGAAUCUCUAAGGUCCCUUCCAUCCCAGACCCUUCUGUGAUUCCGCGAUUCUAAGCCACAGUGAUGGAUUUAGGGGUCUAACAAGAAGGUGAAGGCAGAGUGAGUGGGAUAGCACAGGACAGCGUGGUGGCCACACUUGUCACCAGCCCAGCUCCGCUUCCCAUUACACUUAUCCCGCACAGAAAGGUUUGCACAAGGCCGAGCCGCUGUCAGCCCCCUCCGGCGGAGGAAAUUGCGGCAGGAUGCUCCGGCAGCCGCCGGCACGGCUUCCUGCGCCUCUGCAGGGGGUGCCAAAGCCCUGCGGCCAGCCGGGCUCAGCCCGGGGGAUGCCACCCGCACGGAGCCCAGCGCGACCCUCGUGGGCACUGUCAGCCCGUUGUCAGCACGGUGACAACGACCCCAGAGCUUUUCAGUUCAGUGGGCUCAGAGAGCCCACCCAGCCUCCUCCGGGCUGCUCUGAGCAGGCCAGGAGGAGAUCAGCUUUCCUCAGAGGCUGAGAGCAGCGUGGCAGAUGUGGUGGCACAGCCGCAUGAGCCCCCUGCCCCAGCCGUGUCGCUGGGCAGCAUCUGUCGCCGCUCCGCCCGUGGGUGCCACCCGCGCCCGGAGGGCAGCAGGUCCCGGAGGGCCCCUUCUCCUCGCUUCCCUCGCUCCCUGCCCUACCCUACCCUGCCCCGGCUGCAGCCCUGGCCGGAGGCACAGCCCGCGCUUCUCCUGCUGCCCUGGGCACAAACCUGCCUGGAAGGGGGUAGCCACUGGGAAGGGGAAACUGAGGCAGGGAGGACGUGCACAAGCUCCAGCCAGAAGCAUGGAGCACAAGGCACCAGAGAGAGAGAGAGACAAACUAGUCCAG
rnacentral:lncRNA from 1 species